rnacentral:rRNA from 1 species
AGAGUUUGAUCAUGGCUCAGAACGAACGUUAGCGGCGCGCCUAACACAUGCAAGUCGUGCGAGAAAGGGCUUCGGCCCCGGUACAGCGGCGCACGGGUGAGUAACACGUAGGCAAUCUACCCUCGAGUGGUGGAUAACCUUCCGAAAGGAAAGCUAAUACAGCACGAGACCACGGCUUCUCCGGAAGCUGCGGCCAAAGCGGGCCUCUCCAUGGAAGCUCGCGCUUGAGGACGAGCCUGCGGCCCAUCAGCUUGUUGGUGAGGUAACGGCCCACCAAGGCAGAGACGGGUAGCUGGUCUGAGAGGAUGAACAGCCACACUGGAACUGAGACACGGUCCAGACUCCUACGGGAGGCAGCAGUGGGGAAUUUUGCGCAAUGGGCGAAAGCCUGACGCAGCGACGCCGCGUGAGCGAUGACGGCCUUCGGGUUGUAAAGCUCUGUGGGGAGGGACGAAUAAAGGUGGGCUAAUAUCCUGCCGGAUGACGGUACCUCCUUAGCAAGCACCGGCUAACUCUGUGCCAGCAGCCGCGGUAAGACAGAGGGUGCAAACGUUGUUCGGAAUUACUGGGCGUAAAGCGCGUGUAGGCGGCCACGUAAGUCGGACGUGAAAGCCCACAGCUCAACUGUGGAAGUGCGCUCGAAACUGUGUGGCUUGAGUCCUGGAGAGGAAGGCGGAAUACUUGGUGUAGAGGUGAAAUUCGUAGAUAUCAGGUAGAACAUCAGUGGCGAAGGCGGCCUUCUGGACAGUGACUGACGCUGAGACGCGAAAGCGUGGGGAGCAAACAGGAUUAGAUACCCUAGUAGUCC